GCUGGGUGCGGUGGUGCACACCUGUAAUCCCAGUGGUUGGGGAGGCUGAGACAGGAGGAUUGUGAGUUCAAAGCAGCCUCAGCAACUGUGAGGUGCUAAGCAACUCAGUGAGACCCUGUCUCUA
rnacentral:sRNA from 1 species